CGUGUAGGCGGUCAGGUAAGUGGAAUGUGAAAUGCCCCGGCUCACCCGGGGACCUGCAUCCCAAACUGCCUGGCUUGAGUAUGGGAGAGGAUGGAGGAAUUCCUGGUGUAGCGGUGAAAUGCGUAGAUAUCAGGAGGAACACCGGUGGCGAAGGCGUCCAUCUGGCCCAAUACUGACGCUGAGGCGCGAAAGCUAGGGGAGCAAACGGGAUUAGAUACCCCGGUAGUCCUAGCCGUAAACGGUGAUCACUAGGUGUUGGGGGCAUCGACCCCUCCAGUGCCGCAGCUAACGCAUUAAGUGAUCCGCCUGGGGAGUACGGCCGCAAGGUUGAA
rnacentral:rRNA from 1 species